rnacentral:rRNA from 1 species
CCAGAGGCGACGUGACGGAGGACAUUAUUGAGUUUUGAACGGGUUGUAGCUGGCCUUAUAAAAGGCAUGUGCACGCCUGGCUCAUUUACUCUUAAACUUCUGUGCACUUUUUGUAGAAGGGACAGAUGCUGACUUUUGUCAGUAGAAGUCUUUUCUAUGUUUUUCUUACAAAUGCUUCAGUAACAGAAUGUCACUUUGCAUAUAAUGCAUUAUAUAUAACUUUCAGCAACGGAUCUCUUGGCUCUCGCAUCGAUGAAGAACGCAGCGAAAUGCGAUAAGUAAUGUGAAUUGCAGAAUUCAGUGAAUCAUCGAAUUUUUGAACGCACCUUGCGCUCCUUGGUAUUCCUCGGAGCAUGCCUGUUUGAGUAUCAUGGAAUUAUCAACUCUCAAGUUUCUUAUGAAGCCUGGUGAGCUUGGACUUGGAGGCUGUGCGGGCUUUUAUAAGUCAGCUCCUCUGAAAUAUAUUAGUGUGAAUCUUACAGAUCGCCUUCAGCGUGAUAAAUGUCUACGUUGUGGCUGUGAAGUAUUUAUAUGUUCAUGCUUAUAAUUGUCUUCUUAGACAAUCUUUAACUUCUGAUCUCAAAUCAGGUAGGACUACCCGCUGAACUUAAGCAUAUCAAUAAGCCGGAGGAA